UGCCAUCACAUUUUUGUCCUCAGUUAGUGUCCACGAUCACAUAUUUGGGUGUACAACUCCCAACCCUCAUAUUUACUCGUGAACUCAUUCGCACCCUGAAUACAUUUCAUUAAGAAUAAGUUGGCAUCAGGUCGUGUGUAGAAGUUCCAAAAGAAACAAGAAUUUGUAAUGUCUAAACCUGCUAUCUUUACUGCGUCCAGUUGCAGAAUCAACCAGCGUCGAGGCGUCGACUUCUUCAUGUGAGGCUUUGCCAAUGAAAUCAAAUAUUCACAUUUUUCCUUGGAAUGAGAGCAUCAGUAAAGCCAGUCAUACCCUAAUUGCUAUUUGAAGAGAACUAACAUGGAUAAUUAAUAGUUGCAGUAAUACCAGUCAGGUAAAAUACAACAAAUACUCCUGUCAC
rnacentral:lncRNA from 1 species